rnacentral:rRNA from 1 species
CAGCAGCCACAGGAAUACGGAGGGUGCGAGCGUUAAUCGGAAUAACUGGGCGUAAAGGGCACGCAGGCGGUGACUUAAGUGAGGUGUGAAAGCCCCGGGCUUAACCUGGGAAUUGCAUUUCAUACUGGGUCGCUAGAGUACUUUAGGGAGGGGUAGAAUUCCACGUGUAGCGGUGAAAUGCGUAGAGAUGUGGAGGAAUACCGAAGGCGAAGGCAGCCCCUUGGGAAUGUACUGACGCUCAUGUGCGAAAGCGUGGGGAGCAAACAGGAUUAGAUACCCGAGUAGUCCCUGUCUCUUAUAC